CCUACGGGGGACAGCAGUGGGGAAUAUUGCGCAAUGGGCGAAAGCCUGACGCAGCGACGCCGCGUGAGGGAUGAAGGUCUUCGGAUCGUAAACCUCUGUCAGCAGGGAAGAACGGUCACUGUGCUAAUCAGCAGUGAAUUGACGGUACCUGCAAAGGAAGCACCGGCUAACUCCGUGCCAGCAGCCGCGGUAAUACGGAGGGUGCGAGCGUUAAUCGGAAUUACUGGGCGUAAAGCGCUCGUAGGCGGUAUGUCAAGUCAAGGGUGAAAUCCCCGCGCUCAACGUGGGAACUGCCUUUGAAACUGGCAAACUGGAGUGUGUGAGAGGAUAGUGGAAUUCCAGGUGUAGGAGUGAAAGCCGUAGAUAUCUGGAGGAACAUCAGUGGCGAAGGCGACUAUCUGGCACAUAACUGACGCUGAGGAGCGAAAGCGUGGGUAGCAAACAGGAUUAGAUACCCCAGUAGUC
rnacentral:rRNA from 1 species